rnacentral:rRNA from 3 species
CCUGCUCAAUGAAUUAAAUUUUUAAUAGCCGCAGUAAUUUGACUGUGCUAAGGUAGCAUAAUAAUUAGUUUCUUAAUUAGAAGCUGGAAUGAAGGGUUUGAUGAGAAAAUAUCUGUCUCUGUUGAAAUUAUUUAAAAUUUUAUUUUUAAGUAAAAAAGCUUAAAUUUUUAUAAAAGACGAGAAGACCCUAUAGAGUUUUAUAUUUUAAUAAUUGAUUUUUAUUUAGAAUUAAUAAAUUUUUAAUUAUAUAUUUAUUUAAUUGGGGUGAUUAAAAAAUUUAACAAACUUUUUUUUUAAUUUAACAAUAAUUAUUGAAUAAUUGAUCCUUAUUUUUUAGAUUAAAAGAAUAAAUUACCUUAGGGAUAACAGCGUAAUUUUUUUUAAGAGUUCAAAUUAAAAAAAAAGUUUGCGACCUCGAUGUUGGAUUAAAAUAAAAUUUUGGUGUAGAAGCUA